AACGCAUAUUGCGCUCGAGACUUCGGUCGAGAGCAUGCCUGUCUCAGCGUCGGCUCACCCCUCGCCCACCCCCUCCGUUCUUCCCGAACGGAGAGGUGCCUGGACGGACGUGGCCGUCUCGAUUGGGCUGGCGGAGGGCUCAACCCCCUCUCGCCGGCGUUACCCGAUCGGGUCGGCUGAAGUGCAGGGCCCGCGGCGCGACCCGGACAAGAGGGCGCCAGCAUGGUAGGUGGCCACACGCCGCAUGCCGCUGUCGCCUCCCCUUGGCCCGACCAGUGUCGCAUCCAAUCGUCCGCUCGGCCACCAAGCAGGAAAUUGUCGGAGCCGCCGGCUGGUAAAACAACCGGCGGCGCCGGCAACUCAAACCUUCGACCUGAGAUCAGACAAGACCACCCGCUGAACUUAA
rnacentral:misc_RNA from 2 species